AAAAAGGAAAAAAAAAAAAAAUCUAACCAUUAGAUUCGAUAAAACCAGACCAAACCAGAACCAGAGGGACCUUGCAGUCUGGUCCCGGCCGGGGUCCUGGUCCCAGUCCCCUUGACCCAAUGAACUGGAACUGGCCUGGACCAAACUGGUGGCCUGGUCAACAUCAGAUGGUUGUUACUUGUUAAUUUUGUUUACCAAUAAAGCCUUUUAUUUUUACAAUAACUUUGAUAUUUGCAAAAGUGAGAAUAUUGCAAUAAUUCACCAAACAACAGGUGAUUGUUAAUUUGUUUACCAGUAAAGCCUUCUGUAUUUAUAAUAACUUUGAUAUUUGCAAAAGAGAAUGGUGAUCACCUCAAAAAUGCAGUUUUGAUAAGCUAUUGUCAUUUAAAUGUGAAUGCAAAACA
rnacentral:misc_RNA from 1 species